CACACCUCAUGUAGUCUAGUCCAUAGUCCUAUAAGGUUAGUAUCACACCUCAUGUAGUCUAGUCCAUAGUCCUAUAUGUUUUAAUAAGGUUAGUAUCACACCUCAUGUAGUCUAGUCCAUAGUCCUAUAAGGUUAGUAUCACACCUCAUGUAGCCUAGUCCAUAGUCCUAUAUGUUUUAAUAAGGUUAGUAUCACACCUCAUGUAGUCUAGUCCAUAGUCCUAUAAGGUUAGUAUCACACCUCAUGUAGUCUAGUCCAUAGUCCUAUAUGUUUUAAUAAGGUUAGUAUCACACCUCAUGUAGUCUAGCCCAUAGUCCUAUAAGGUUAGUAUCACACCUCAUAUAGUCUAGCCCAUAGUCCUAUAAGGUUAGUAUCACACCUCAUGUAGUCUAGCCCAUAGUCCUAUAUGUUUUAAUAAGGUUAGUAUCACACCUCAUGUAGUCUAGUCCAUA
ensembl:lncRNA